AUUAAAGAUUACAUGGAUAACCGAGCUAAUUGUUGGGCUAAUACAUGCUUAAAAUUCCGUGUCCUGUGACCGGAACGUAUUUAUUAGAUAUUAAACCUUUCGCAGCAAUGUGAAAGAGAUGAAUCAAAGUAACUGAUCGAAUCGUAGCUUGCCUACGAUAAAUCAUCUAAGUUUCUGCCCUAUCAGCUCUCGAUGGUAGUGUAUUGGACUACCAUGGCAGUCACGGGUAACGGAGAAUUAGGGUUCGAUUCCGGAGAAGGAGCCUGAGAAACGGCUACUACAACUACGGUUUGGCAGCAGGGAANAAAAUUGGCCAAUCCUAAUUCAGGGAGCCAGUGACAAGGAAUAGCAAACCGGGGAACUAUGUUUCUACGGUAUUGAAAUGAGAACAGUGUUAAUC
rnacentral:rRNA from 1 species